rnacentral:rRNA from 1 species
CCUACGGGUGGCAGCAGUGGGGAAUAUUGCACAAUGGGCGCAAGCCUGAUGCAGCCAUGCCGCGUGUGUGAAGAAGGCCUUCGGGUUGUAAAGCACUUUCAGCGGGGAGGAAGGCGUUAAGGUUAAUAACCUUGUCGAUUGACGUUACCCGCAGAAGAAGCACCGGCUACCUCCGUGCCAGCAGCCGCGGUAAUACGGAGGGUGCAAGCGUUAAUCGGAAUUACUGGGCGUAAAGCGCACGCAGGCGGUCUGUCAAGUCGGAUGUGAAAUCCCCGGGCUCAACCUGGGAACUGCAUUCGAAACUGGCAGGCUAGAGUCUUGUAGAGGGGGGUAGAAUUCCAGGUGUAGCGGUGAAAUGCGUAGAGAUCUGGAGGAAUACCGGUGGCGAAGGCGGCCCCCUGGACAAAGACUGACGCGCAGGUGCGAAAGCGUGGGGAGCAAACAGGAUUAGAUACCCGAGUAGUC